AUUUAAUCUUCCAAAGGUUAUUUCUCCAAGUUUGGAACCAAAUGAAAAACUUUCUAAUACUGCCAAUCAGAUCCUUGACCCUGAUGUCUGGAACAUAGAUAACACUCAUCAUUCUCCUUCAUUUGUUCUUAAGACAUUUGCUCCAAAAAUGCUGAUCUGUGAAAGUGACUCAAGAGACAUAAAAAAAGAGACUAUGGAUGACAAACAUCCUAACAACUAUAAGUCCUGGAGAAAAGGUCAGAAAAACUGAUGGAGAAGCUAUGGAUUAAAGAGCCAGCAGAAAGAAAAUUUAUUGUCUUUUCUUAAAC